rnacentral:rRNA from 1 species
UACAGAGGUCUCAAGCGUUGUUCGGAUUCAUUGGGCGUAAAGGGUGCGUAGGCGGCGUGGUAAGUCGGGUGUGAAAUCUCGGAGCUUAACUCCGAAACUGCAUUCGAUACUGCCGUGCUUGAGGACUGGAGAGGAGACUGGAAUUUACGGUGUAGCGGUGAAAUGCGUAGAUAUCGUAAGGAAGACCAGUGGCGAAGGCGGGUCUCUGGACAGUUCCUGACACUGAGGCACGAAGGCCAGGGGAGCGAACGGG